GAUGAACGCUGGCGGCGUGCCUAAUACAUGCAAGUCGAGCGAACAGACGAGGAGCUUGCUCCUCUGACGUUAGCGGCGGACGGGUGAGUAACACGUGGAUAACCUACCUAUAAGACUGGGAUAACUUCGGGAAACCGGAGCUAAUACCGGAUAAUAUAUUGAACCGCAUGGUUCAAUAGUGAAAGACGGUCUUGCUGUCACUUAUAGAUGGAUCCGCGCCGCAUUAGCUAGUUGGUAAGGUAACGGCUUACCAAGGCAACGAUGCGUAGCCGACCUGAGAGGGUGAUCGGCCACACUGGAACUGAGACACGGUCCAGACUCCUACGGGAGGCAGCAGUAGGGAAUCUUCCGCAAUGGGCGAAAGCCUGACGGAGCAACGCCGCGUGAGUGAUGAAGGUCUUCGGAUCGUAAAACUCUGUUAUUAGGGAAGAACAAAUGUGUAAGUAACUAUGCACGUCUUGACGGUACCUAAUCAGAAAGCCACGGCUAACUACGU
rnacentral:rRNA from 1 species